rnacentral:rRNA from 1 species
GACGAACGCUGGCGGCGUGCUUAACACAUGCAAGUCGAACGGUGAAGCGCCUCCUUUUUGGUGGGUGUGGAUGAGUGGCGAACGGGUGAGUAACACGUGAGUAACCUGCCCCCUUCUUCUGGAUAACCGCAUGAAAGUGUGGCUAAUACGGGAUAUUCUGGGUCUGUCGCAUGAUGGGUCUGGGAAAGAUAUUGUUUCGGUGGGGGAUGGGCUCGCGGCCUAUCAGCUUGUUGGUGGGGUGAUGGCCUACCAAGGCGGUGACGGGUAGCCGGCCUGAGAGGGUGGACGGUCACACUGGGACUGAGACACGGCCCAGACUCCUACGGGAGGCAGCAGUGGGGAAUAUUGCACAAUGGGCGCAAGCCUGAUGCAGCGACGCCGCGUGAGGGAUGGAGGCCUUCGGGUUGUGAACCUCUUUCGCCAGUGAAGCAGGCCUGCCUCGUUUGGGGGUGGGUUGACGGUAGCUGGAUAAGAAGCGCCGGCUAACUACGUG